AUGAACGCUGGCGGCGUGCCUAAUACAUGCAAGUCGAGCGAACGGACGAGAAGCUUGCUUCUCUGAUGUUAGCGGCGGACGGGUGAGUAACACGUGGAUAACCUACCUAUAAGACUGGGAUAACUUCGGGAAACCGGAGCUAAUACCGGAUAAUAUUUUGAACCGCAUGGUUCAAAAGUGAAAGACGGCCUUGCUGUCACUUAUAGAUGGAUCCGCGCUGCAUUAGCUAGUUGGUAAGGUAACGGCUUACCAAGGCAACGAUGCAUAGCCGACCUGAGAGGGUGAUCGGCCACACUGGAACUGAGACACGGUCCAGACUCCUACGGGAGGCAGCAGUAGGGAAUCUUCCGCAAAGGGCGAAAGCCUGACGGAGCAACGCCGCGUGAGUGAUGAAGGUCUUCGGAUCGUAAAACUCUGUUAUUAGGGAAGAACAUAUGUGUAAGUAACUGUGCACAUCUUGACGGUACCUAAUCAGAAAGCCACGGCUAACUACGUG
rnacentral:rRNA from 1 species